rnacentral:rRNA from 1 species
UGCCAGCCGCCGCGGUAAUACGGAGGGUGCAAGCGUUAUCCGGAAUCACUGGGUUUAAAGGGUGCGUAGGCGGCGUUAUAAGUCAGAGGUGAAAGCCUACCGCUUAACGGUAGAACUGCCUUUGAUACUGUAGUGCUUGAAUCAGGUUGAGGUUAGCGGAAUGAGUCAUGUAGCGGUGAAAUGCAUAGAUAUGACUUAGAACACCAAUUGCGAAGGCAGCUGGCUAGACCUGUGUUGACGCUGAGGCACGAAAGCGUGGGGAGCGAACAGGAUUAGAUA